rnacentral:rRNA from 1 species
CCUUCCCCGGACGGCCCGUACCGUAAACCGACACAGGUGGGUGAGUGUAAGCGCACUCAGGCGCGCGAGAGAAACCUCUCUAAGGAACUCGGCACAUUAGCCUCGUAACUUCGGGAGAAGAGGUGCUUGAAACCGUUGCAGUAAUGUAAUGGCGUAAAGCCACAGUAAAUUGCGUUUAGCGACUGUUUAACAAAAACACAGCACUCUGCCAAGUCGUGAAGACGACGUAUAGGGUGUGACACGUGACCAAUGCGGAAAGAUUAAAACAUUGGGUUAGCCGCAAGGCGAAGCUCGGUGUCCAAGUCCCCGUGAAUGUCGGCCGUAACUAUAACGGUCCUAAGGUAGCGAAAUUCCUUGUCGGGUAAGUUCCGACCUGCACGAAUCGUGUAACGACUGAACGACUGUCUCGGAGAGGAUCUCGGCGAAACUGUAACGGCGGUGAAGAUGCCGCCUGCCCGCAGUAGGACGGAAAGACCCUAUGCACCUUUACUGUAAGCUCGUAUUGGGUUCUGAUUAACGAUGCGUAGCGUAGGUGGGAGACUUUGAAGCGAGUCCUUCGGGAUUCGUGGAGUCGCAAUGUGAAACACCACUCUUUGCUAAUUAGGAUUCUGACCCCGAUUUCUGUGAAACCAGACGGGGGACAGUGCGUGCGGGUCAGUUUGACUGGGGCGGUUUCCUCCCAAAGAGUAACGGAGGAGCGCGAUGCUUGGUUCAGCAUGGUUGGCAACUAUGCGUUGAGGUAUGGCUAGAAACCAGGUUAACUGUGAGACGUACAUGUCGAGCAGGUGCGAAAGCAGGCCCAGAUGAUCCGACGGUUUAAAAUGGAAUUGCCGUCGCUCAUCGGACAAAAGGUACGCUAGGGAUAACAGGCUGAUCGGAUCCAAGAGUUCACAUCGACGAUCCGGUUUGGCACCUCGAUGUCGGCUCAUCGCAUCCUGGGGCUGGAGAAGGUCCCAAGGGUCCGGCUGUUCGCCGGUUAAAGCGGUACGCGAGCUGGGUUCAGAACGUCGUGAGACAGUUCGGUCCUUAUCCACUGUGGGCGCAGGAAACUUGAGGGGUUCUAACCUUAGUACGAGAGGACCGGGUUAGACGCACUUCUGGUGUGGCAGUUGUUCCAUCCGGGGCAUCGCUGCGUAGCCAUGUGCGGAAGAGAUAAGCGCUGAAAGCAUCUAAGUGCCAAGCUCCUCCCAAGAUAUUGUUUCCCGGGGCGCAAGCCCCCUAAAGACCACGGGCAGACUACCCGUUUGAUAGGCUAGGAAUGUAAGUGCCGCGAGGUGCUCAGUUGACUAGUACUAAUCGGUCGUGCGGCUUGAUCU